AACGAACGCUGGCGGCAGGCCUAACACAUGCAAGUCGAACGCCGUAGCAAUACGGAGUGGCAGACGGGUGAGUAACGCGUGGGAACCUUCCCAAUGGUACGGAAUAGCUCAGGGAAACUUGAGGUAAUACCGUAUACGCCCGAGAGGGGAAAGAUUUAUCGCCAUUGGAUGGGCCCGCGUAGGAUUAGCUAGUUGGUGAGGUAAUGGCUCACCAAGGCGACGAUCCUUAGCUGGUCUGAGAGGACGACCAGCCACACUGGGACUGAGACACGGCCCAGACUCCUACGGGAGGCAGCAGUGGGGAAUAUUGGACAAUGGGCGAAAGCCUGAUCCAGCCAUGCCGCGUGAGUGAUGAAGGCCUUAGGGUUGUAAUGCUCUUUUGGCGGGGAAGAUAAUGACGGUACCCGCAGAAUAAGCCCCGGCUAACUUCGUGCCAGCCGCCGCCGUAACAC
rnacentral:rRNA from 1 species